rnacentral:tRNA from 2 species
CCACACAUGGUAAAACCUUUAAAGA